rnacentral:rRNA from 1 species
CCGCCUGGGGAGUACGGCCGCAAGGUUAAAACUCAAAUGAAUUGACGGGGGCCCGCACAAGCGGUGGAGCAUGUGGUUUAAUUCGAUGCAACGCGAAGAACCUUACCUGGUCUUGACAUCCACAGAAGAAUCCAGAGAUGGAUUUGUGCCUUCGGGAACUGUGAGACAGGUGCUGCAUGGCUGUCGUCAGCUCGUGUUGUGAAAUGUUGGGUUAAGUCCCGCAACGAGCGCAACCCUUAUCCUUUGUUGCCAGCGAUUAGGUCGGGAACUCAAAGGAGACUGCCAGUGAUAAACUGGAGGAAGGUGGGGAUGACGUCAAGUCAUCAUGGCCCUUACGACCAGGGCUACACACGUGCUACAAUGGCGCAUACAAAGAGAAGCGACCUCGCGAGAGCAAGCGGACCUCAUAAAGUGCGUCGUAGUCCGGAUUGGAGUCUGCAACUCGACUCCAUGAAGUCGGAAUCGCUAGUAAUCGUGGAUCAGAAUGCCACGGUGAAUACGUUCCCGGGCCUUGUACACACCGCCCGUCACACCAUGGGAGUGGGUUGCAAAAGAAGUAGGUAGCUUAACCUUCGGGAGGGCGCUUACCACUUUGUGAUUCAUGACUGGGGUGAAGUCGUAACAAGGUAACCGUAGGGGAACCUGCGGUUGGAUCACCUCCUUACCUGAAAGAAGC